rnacentral:rRNA from 1 species
GCUUGUCUCAAAGAUUAAGCCAUGCAUGUCUAAGUAUAAGCAAUUAUACAGCGAAACUGCGAAUGGCUCAUUAAAUCAGUUAUCGUUUAUUUGAUAGUACCUUACUACUUGGAUAACCGUGGUAAUUCUAGAGCUAAUACAUGCUAAAAACCCCGACUCACGAAGGGGUGUAUUUAUUAGAUUAAAAGCCAAUGCCCUUCGGGGCUCACUGGUGAUUCAUAAUAACUUGUCGAAUCGCAUGGCCUUGUGCCGGCGAUGGUUCAUUCAAAUUUCUGCCCUAUCAACUUUCGACGGCUGGGUCUUGGCCAGCCAUGGUGACAACGGGUAACGGAGGGUUAGGGCUCGACCCCGGAGAACGAGCCUGAGAAACGGCUAUUACAUCCAAGGAAGGCAGCAGG